rnacentral:rRNA from 1 species
UACGUAGGGUGCGAGCGUUAAUCGGAAUUACUGGGCGUAAAGCGUGCGCAGGCGGUUGGUUAAGUCUGAUGUGAAAGCCCGGGGCUCAACCCCGGGAGGCGGAUGGAUACUGCUUGGCUCGAGUCCGGAAGAGGCGAGUGGAAUUCCCGGUGUAGCGGUGAAAUGCGCAGAUAUCGGGAGGAACACCAGUGGCGAAGGCGGCUUUCUGGGCUAUCCUGACGCUGAGGAGCGAAAGCGUGGGGAGCAAACCGGG